CCAAUCCCAGCAUGAAGAUCCUUUAUCUGCUGUUCACAUUCCUUUUCCUUGCAUUCCUGUCUGAACCAGGUAUUGCCCGGAGGGAGUGUUACAGACAAGGAGGACGCUGCUUUAAUGGUUACUGUCCAAUGAAUUUUUUGGACCUUAGGAGACUGGAUUGUGGACCGAGAUUUAGAUGCUGUAGACACCACAAUGGAAAAUGAUGUCACUCCAUCUACAACCCUGGAUGUCUUCAAGAUAUGUCCAAUGACCUGAGAUUACUACCUGCUAUCGCUUUUGCUUGCUCUUCAACCACACUUUAUGCCAUAAAGUCACACAUUCCCAUUCUUCCCCAUCUGUUUAUUUAUUGAAGAAGUUAUUUUGCCACUGAGGUCUUCCAACUGACGUGGUUGCUUGAGCAGAAGUAGAACAAAACAAAAACUAUUAACCAAGACCCCACAAUGGAAAAUACAAGACCUAGAUUAUUCUGAUACUUAAGAAACUCUUAAGAUUAUGUUUUUCAAGAUAAAUACUGUGGGAUACUACUUAGAACAAGAACGUCCCUGUCUGUUAACUCGGUAUCACCAUAGGCUAGGUGUUGAUAAAAGAAUGGAAGAUGUAGCAAGAGAAAAUUUGCACGAAAGAUAUCUUUCCUGAACCAUUCUGUUUGUUAAGUGCAGAGACCAAAAGACAUAUACUAUUAAUUUUGAUCACCAGCAUAAAACAAAAGGAAAGAUUACAAGAAGAAAAAAAAAUAUCAGAGCCUG